rnacentral:rRNA from 1 species
UACGAAGGGGGCUAGCGUUGUUCGGAAUUACUGGGCGUAAAGCGCGCGUAGGCGGUGAUCUUUGUCAGAGGUGAAAUCCCGAGGCUCAACUUCGGAAUUGCCUUUGAAACGGGAUCGCUUGAGUCCGAGAGAGGAUGGCGGAAUUCCUAGUGUAGAGGUGAAAUUCGUAGAUAUUAGGAAGAACACCGGUGGCGAAGGCGGCCAUCUGGCUCGGUACUGACGCUCAGGCGCGAAAGCGUGGGGAGCAAACAGGGAUUAAGAAACCCU